AAUUCCAAACUAAAUGUGCAAAGAAUUUUAUGGAAAUUCCGAGGUUUAUUUCAAGGGCUUCUAGGAAUAAAUUUAAUCAGAAUUGCUUGUGUUCUCCCAGAGAGCAUUUCAAAUUUAUUUCAAGCUGACUGCCUACGUGGCGAAGAGAAGAUCGGUCGGCUGAAUAACAACAAAGCAACUGGUGUAGAUCAACUACCAAGUGAGCUAUUAAAAUACGGUGGUGAAGCACUGGCUAGAGCGCUGCCCUGGGUAAUUGCCAAGAUUUGGGAGGAGGAGAUAUUACCGGAGGAGUGGAUGGAAGGUGUCGGAUGCCCAAUCUACAAAAAGGGCGACAAGUUGGAUUGCUGCAUCUACCGCGCGAUCACACUGCUGAGCGCCGCCUACAAGGUACUCUCCCAAAUUCUAUGCCGCUGCCUGUCACCAUUUGCAAGAGAGUUCGUGGGGCCAUUUCCAGGUGGGAUUCAUGGGUGCCCGCGCUACCACGGACCAAAUUUUCGCGAUUCGGCAGGUUCUGCAGAAAUGCCGCGAAUACAACGUGCCCACACAUCAUUUGUUCAUCAAUUUCAAAUCCGCAUAUGACACAAUCGAUCGAGAUCAGCUAUGGCAGAUUAUGCACGAGUACGGAUUUCCGGAUAAACUGACGCGAUUGGUCAAGGCGACGAUGGAUCGAGUGAUGUGCGUUGUUCGAGUAUCGGGACACUCUCGAGUCCCUUUGAAUCUCGAAGGGGGUUACGAUAAGGUGAUGGACUUUCGUGUCUGCUAUUCAACAUCGCGUUAUAAGGUAUGAUCAGAAGAGCUGGGAUAGACACGAGUGGCACGAACUUCAGGAAGUCCAUCCAGCUUCUUGGCUUAGCCGUUGACAUCGACAUCAUGGCACGGAACUUUGAAACGAUUGCGGAAACGUACAUCAGACUGAAGCCUGAAGCUAGGCGGAUUGGACUUGCCAUCAAUGCAUCAAAGACAAAAUACAUGAAAGGAAGAGGUUCUAGGGAAGACAAUGUUAGGCUCUCACCCCGAGUUCAGAUUGACGGUGACGAAAUCGAGGAGGUCAAUGAGUUCGUGUAUUUGGGCUCACUGGUAACCGCCGAAAAUGCAACCAGCAGAGAAAUUCGAAGACGCUGAUUAGACCGGUGGUCCUCUACGGCCACGAGACCUGGACUAUGCUCGUGGAGGAACAACGCGCCCUUGGUGUUUUCGAACGCAAGGUGUGUUGCGUACCAUCUACGGUGGAGUGCAGAUGGAUGACGGAACGUGGAGGAGGCGAAUGAACCACGAAUUUCACCAGUGAAAAUGGUUCUAGAACGCGACCCAACAGGAACAAGAAGAAGAGGCGCGCAGCGGGCAAGGUGGAUCGACCAAGUAGAAGGCAACCUGCGGACCCUUCGCAGACUACGAAGCUGGCGAAGUGUGGCCAUGGAUCGAGUAGAGUGGAGACGACUUCUUUGGAAAGCAGAGGACAACAAAGCCUUAGCCUGAUUGACGACGACGACGCUCACGUGGCGGUCCUUCGCAAUGAAUUUGUUCCUUUGUCAUAUUCCUUCGACAACGUUGGUUCACCUAAAAUUUUCCCGAAAUCGAUUCCGGUAGUCACCGCAGGGAUCGAUCUAAAUUAGUUCAAUAAUGUAUCUGGCAGCACUGCAAAAGAACUGUCAACUGUAAACAAAUCAUGUCGAUGAACCAUCUUGUCCCGUGACACUUCUUGCCCUACCUUGCCCUAGUAAUUUCGAAUUUUAAAAGUUUCAAAAUUUCAAAGUAGUUCUGAGAAGUCUUCCACGGAGAUCGUGCAGGAAAUUCCAGAAAAAGGAGAUGAGAGUAUCAACACGUUUUUUUUUAAUUCCAUCGCAAUUUACUGUACAGUUUUGAGAAAAAUUUCAGCAGAAUUUUGAGGAUGAUUCCGAGAAAAUUCUGACAACGAUCCUGAGAAGAAGAAGUUCUCAUCAGUCAUCCAAGGGAAACUCUAAUAAGAGUUGCAAGGGAACUUGUGGUAAAACAUCCAAAAGUUUCCAGACAAGAAUUAACAAGAUUGCAAACUUUUCUUAUUCGAAACAUGGCUACUUCUUACUUGAAUCAAUUAAGAAAGGGGUGUCAUUUUCACGGUUUGCCAAGGACGUAGUAAAUCCUCACUAUGACUCUGCUUGGAAUGAACAUUAAUGAAAAUUAGUGAAGUUAAAUUAUUAAUGAGUUGUUUCCGAGCUAAUUCAGACCAGUCGAUUUGAAAAGUAACGCUUGUUUUUAAAAUUUCCGGGCACAGACAAGUCUUCAAGAUUCAGGGGCUUUCGAAUUUUCCAGAUCUCCUGCUUAUUUUCAAUGAGAUCUCAUGUUUAGAAAACUAAACAAGAUCCAGAACAAAUCUUCCAGAUUCUGGAAUUGGUGCGAUACGCCUGGCGUUGAAAAAACAUCCCAGACUCGAAGAAAUGUUCAAGAUCGUAAGCCAUGAAAAGUUUACAUGACUCUGAGAAAAAUAGGAGACUCUUCAAACUUUGACUUUGGGUGAUUUUUUUUUUUGAGUAUCGGAAUUUGGAAAAGGAUUUAGAUCUCGUACUUAAAAAUUGUGAGUCUUCUGAAAUUAUUUUAAAUUCUCGUGAAUUAGAGUAAUUGUCGGUACUAGACUAGAAUAAAUAUAAAAUUACAAUGUUGAAAAACUAGUUACCCACUAGAUCUAAUGACGUUCUGCCUAAUGACAACACGACAAAAAAUGUGUUGUCUCCUCCGCCCUUGAUACGCCUUUCAUAACGCUUCAUCACGCUGCAGUCCAUGCAGGCCCUUUGAUGGUGGGGGUGGCCGUGUAUUGCUGCUAGCUGACACGAGCUGUGCCGAACGUGCUAUUCGCCACUGCGGCUGUCUGCUUAAGCCUGGUACGCAGCUGAAAAGAAACGGAAAAGUAAUUUUUUAGGAAUAUUCCCAAAAGUAAAUUUGACAGCUAUAGGCAGGUGUCUUUUGCUAAAUUUUGAGAUCAUAGGGGGCUGUCGUCUAAUUUUAAAAUCAACAAUUAUCAGUUUUUAUGUUGUUAAAAUGCAUCCAAAACAUCAUUUUUACAGCAAACUUUAAAAUUACCUAACGGAAUAAUUGAUCAGACCAUUAUUCCGCAAGGAAAGUGAAUUUACAUUCAGAAUGCGAUCACGAUACUAAUGUAAUCGGUCUUUUCUUUACCGAUUUCUUUUGAACUGCGUACUGGGUCAAGAAAUGCUAAGGAAAAGUAAUUUCUUAAGCAGUCCGUGACCUAUCCCGUAGCACGUAAAAAUGUCAUUACUUUUCAGCUACGUACCAGGCUUUACGUGGUGGUCAUUUGCAAUGGCUAUUGUUCCUUUGUCGUAUUCCUUCGAAACCGAUUCCGGUAGUCAUCACAGUGAUCCACCUAGGCGAUACAGUUUUAUGUAUCUGCUAAAUGCAGUCCUGCUUGUCGAAUGACUGUGGAGGCGAAACUGACUCGAGUGGCGUAGCCUCCGCAGUCAGAACGUUUAGUUUUUAAAAUUUACCCAAGGCCAUACGAUGAAGAUGAUGAUAGUCUUCUAAUGCUGAUGACCGUCGAAACGGCAUUGCAUUUGCACAGCAAAUCAGAAUUAUUUCUUCCCAGCCACUUCUCGCAACUUGAAACCUUUAAUAACCCUCGGGACAACCGACAGUUACAAACAUACCGUCUACACUGAGAAAAAAUUGAACUUUUAUAUUCAUAAGUCUUAUUUAACGUUAUCAGAAAAUCUAAUGAUAAUUGCCGUUGUAAAUUCGGAAGUGCUGCCGGUUAUAUGAGAGAAUAAUAAGAAGAACGUUCUGUACUUUUUUUUUAUCUUUUAAAACACGUCUCCUAACACUCUCAAAUGAUACUCAACUGAACAUUCUUAAGAUUUACUAUUCUGUUUGGUACAGAAAUCCACUGAGACCAGUAAUUGAUCUUUCAAUUGCAUAAUCAAAUGCAGAAUUUUCUUACAAACAGGCUGGUUGCUUUGGUAAACAAUGCCCCAUCUGAUAGAGGAAUAUUCUGGUAUCAAUCAAUAAUGUUGAUAAGCGCGGGCGAGUUAAGAAAAUCAAACUUGAAGUCGUUGUUAAAAAAAAGAAGUCAGGCCACGUUAGUAAAAGAAAUCUGCAGGAUUAUAAUUUGAUUACCUAACCAUACAAACUGUCUGAAACUGAAUGCUGUUAAGCAAAGUGAAAUAAUAAAUUAACGGAAGGGAACCUACAAAUGCAACUCGUAAAGUGCCAAAGUCUGUUGUUGGAAAUCCUCAACACAGAACACACCGUAAGAGAAUGUACUUAGUUGCAGAAUCAACCAUCAGAAGAAGAAAAAAAAACAGAAAUCUAAAAAGCCAGAAAUCUAGGUAAAGAGUAGUGAGUAGCAUCACAAAUAAGUAUCCGAUUAUUUUCCCCCCUAGUUGCACCGUGCACGCGUCAUCAUCUAGUGAGAGCAAUUUACGCAAGCCAAGUAGUAUCAAAAGCGCGUUGGAAAUAAGCUGAAACAGAAGCAAAGGAAUGUUUUUCGUUCAACAGUGCAGUGCAAGCAAAAAUAAGGAAACAUACAAAUAGAUUAGCGUGUUCUGCCAAUGAGCCAGGUGUUCGUUUCAGUAGAAAAACAACAAAAGAAGAAAAAAAGAAAAGGUAAAUAGCGCGAGGUGAAAUUCGAGGAAAGCGUUGAGAUCCAAAAGGAAGCGUUACAUACAUACAUAUAUUUUGUAUAAACUUAUUUAGGGAUUCUAAAAGCAUUCGAACGCAUUCGAAUGAGAAUUAAAUGAUAGAGAAUGUCUUUUGUGAAAGCUUAUUAGCGCAGUAAAAAAAAACUAAAAAAAAAAAUGACAAAAUAAACAGGGUGACACAGUGAAAAUUUAGCUCUAUUGAAGAAAAACUACACAAGGAAAACGAGUAAACAGUGAAGUAGAUGCCCGAAGCAAGAAGUGAAGAUUGUCUAGUAACUUAGUGAAAAGCUCAAGUAGAUCGAAUUUAUUUAACCCUAAAGACUAUCACGUUUUUACUCUUAAUCAUAUCCUAUAGAAACCUAUCCAUACACACACACCUACUACACACAAACACACGCGCGUAAUAAGGAAGGAUGUGACAAGUAGUUGUUGUCAUAGUACUACUAUAUCACACAAUCUUUAGAGUAAACAAAACAACAAUACAUAUUGCAAAACAGGUUGGCUAUAUAGCGACGACUUUUCUACACACACAAUAUCAUAACCCCCCCUAACAUAUCAGACUAAUCGAUGUGAAUCCCUUUUUCCCGAAUGAAGAAAAAAAUUGAUCCACUUUUCAAAAAGCAACCCUCAAUGAUACUUUUGCUUUUCUUAAAAAUGAAGAAACAUCACGACGAAACAUAACCCGUCAUUGUCUCGUCGUUGUGGUCGUCAUCAUCGUCGUACUAGCGGCAUGAGGAAGAAAAAAAAAGUGACAGACGAAAACAAAAACAAAACUAUCAACAAAAGUCUUCUUACCUGACGAAACUGCUAGAGGGAGACAAAACAGUUCAAUUUGGUUUCGAAGGAACAAAUAAUAGAUCGUAAAUAAAUAAAGAAUAAAAAGAGAAAAACAUGUUGUACAAAGUAAGCAAGUAGAAGAAAAUACGUUAAAAACAAAAAGAAAAAAAAACAGAAAAAACAAACAAAAGCUAGCGAAAAUUCCGGUGUUGUAACGCAAGUAGAGUAAUGCAAUUGGAACAAAUGAUGCAAACACCCAAACAUGCAUGCAUGACAGUACGUGAUUUCAUGACACAGAUUUCAGUUUUUGAAACAAAGUUGCUGAGGAGAUGAUGUGUGUAGAAAGCAAAAGCCAAAUGAGAGGUAAAAAUGCGUUUUAAAAGCAGUGCAGCAGAUACUGGAACAAUGUAGCAUUCGCCCGAUCAUGGUAGAGUUAAAUUUAAUUAAAUUGCCACACACCCAGUCACUGGCUUCGUCGGCUUGGUGUGCCAUUAUUGUCGGGUUUUUAUUUUUGUCGAGGACCAUGGAAAUUCAAUUGCCGGUAGAAAUGUGCAGCGGAAUUUGUCUCCCACAUCAACGACAUCAACGACGAUUGGUAGGAAAAGUGACACACGAUGGCAGUCAGAGCAUGUUUUAUCAAUUAGUGUGAAAUAUGUGCAGUUAAUGAAAUUAUGCACAUGAUAAUGUAGAGAGCGAGAGAGAGAGAGAGAGUGCGGGAGAAUCUAUUUGCGAACAUAUUUGCCACGACCGGCUGGGGGAACUGGGCGAUGGUGGGCAGGGUGUUGUAAUUGUUUGUCGCCAUUCGAUAGGCAGCCAGCUGUCGCUGAUUGUUUGUUGUUUGCAUAGUUUUCUGUUUAGCAAAUAAAUUGGAUUGACUAUCAGAAAUCAAUUUUUGCACUUUGAGUGACCUUGUGCGCUGCUGGAGUUGGUUAAGUGCUAGUGGGAGUUGUUUUCAAAAUGAUUUUGUAAUUUCGAAUCACAAAUGCGUAUUUCCGUCAUUUAAAUGCGAUUUGCUUAUUGGAAUAUUUUAAAAUGAUUUCCUGAAUGAUCAGUGACUAGGCUACACGCGAACCAAGAAAAAAAAAAUCAUAGAACGUUGGCAUGUUAUCUUACCAUCUUUGCAUGACAAAUUAAAUAGCGUACAAACAAAGCGAUUUACAAUACUUCGCUUAAUAAUAGGUUUUAUUUUAACUCAAUAUGGUGGAAAGCAACAUAUUUAUAAAAUUAUAUAAUCCAUUGAAGUUUUUCAAAAGCCAUGAUUAAAACGGGUAAUUAUUUUUUCAGUCCAUUGUCAGCACUGUUCGUGUGAACAUUCGAAAUGAGUGACAAACUCAUUUAAAAAUUUAAUUUAACGGUGUUCUCUGCAUUUUCAGAAAAAGUCUUCUUCUGUUUCUACUGUUUCUUCUUUGCAUUUCAAGAUUAUUGCUUAUCGCAUAUUAGCUUAUUGCGUACUCUCAACUUAGUGUUCUAGGUGCACUUCCACAGUUAUUAAUUAUGAGCUUUCGAUAGAGUCGCCGUGUGUGUAGUGGUAAGUGUGAUUGCCUCUCACCCCAAAAGGCCAGAGUUCAAUCCCAGUCGGCGCCGCCGGGAUUCUCUGAGGCAUAAAAUCUCUGAUCACGCAGGGAUGAAAAGCCGUUGGUCUCCGGUCUAUGAGUUGAUGGGUCGAUAGCUAGGGCCCAGGUGUGGGAGCUGCCUCCCUUGCCUGGCGUCGGAAGCAUUGAUACUCAGUACGGAAAACAAAUUAAGAAAAAAAAGAGCUUUCGAUGCCUGUACCAUUUUUGUUUUAGAAUAAAUGUGUGGCAAGUACUUACAAUCAUACUCUAUACCCAGGGAAGUCGAAAAAUUUUCCAACUCGAAAAAUUCUUAAACUUGACCGGGAAUCUAACCCAGUUAUUUCCUGCAUGGUCUUGCUUUGUAGCUGCGCCUCUACUGACUGAGCUAAUCGAGGCCCCAAAACAUUAAAACUGUCCAUAAUUUAAAAAAAAUAUUGACUUUACAUUUAAUGUUUUAUGCCUGAAAUUUGAACCAAAUGAUUGAUUGUUUCAGGUGGCCAAAUUCGGUAAAAAAAAGCAAAAAUUUGAGAAGAUAAAAAUUUAAAUGCAUAGAUUUGGACAAUAACUUAGCUGUGAUGUGUUUUGGAAUCCAACUAUCCUUCAAUGUUCCAGAAAAGAGUUCCAAUUGAAAUCAAAUAAAUAAAUGUUCAAUAUAGACACAACAAUACGACGCUCUAAACAUAAACAAUGCGGCUUACUUCGAUCGAUUUUUAUUCAAAACUACGGGCCCAAAUGUGGGAAGAUGCGGAAAGGCUGCGUCAUGCUCGAUAGUUGGGACCUGUUCAAAUAUUACGCAACGCAAAACUUUUGUUUUUACGUAUGUAUGCGGCGAUACGUAAUAUUUAAUGGGCACUUGUCACAAAUAACAUCAACAUGGGUAACUGGAGUCGAUUUGAUUUAAAUUAGUUUUCUAUCUAACAGGUAGCUUUACUUCUUCUGCGAUAGAGAUUUUUAACGUUUAAUCCUUUAUAAGGCACUGGCCACCAACAAUCAAUAUUUUUUCUGCUCACUCGUAAUUUGUUUUCAAUUUAUGUUUUAACUGGUGGAAACUUCUAACAUUUGUCAAUAAUCCUUUUUUUUAGCCACAUCAAAUGAAAUUUUUUAAUUUGACAGCAAUAUUAAUGUCAACAAACCUCCAAUUUUGAUCCAUACAAAAUUAAACUGUUGUAACUUUAUUCACAUUUUAUUAAAAUGUAAGCCAAAUAAUCACAAAUGAGCAUAAUUUAAGCUCAUUUGCCUCCUUGGUUUUUUUUAAUGUGUCAGUUUGAAAAAAAAGGUUCUCAAAUAAGAAGAGAUUUACUAAAAUUGCUCAUGGCGCAGACCCUAUCGAUCAAGCCCAAAAUAUAUUGAAUAUUUGUGGGGGAGGAAACUAUUUGUGACAACCAGCUGGUGCCAUGAAGUACACUGAACGAUGCGUUUUAAAACCCGUGCAGACCAUCAUUACCGAGCGUGGAAAGCUGGAUUGAACAGAAUUGCAUUACGCAUUUAUACUACCAAAAAAAAAAACAA